rnacentral:rRNA from 1 species
GACGAACGCUGGCGGCGUGCUUAACACAUGCAAGUCGAACGGUGAAGGGACCGGUUUUUGCUGGUUCUGGAUGAGUGGCGAACGGGUGAGUAACACGUGAGUAACCUGCCCCCUUCUUCUGGAUAACCGCAUGAAAGUGUGGCUAAUACGGGAUAUUCUGCGCCUGCUGCAUGGUGGGUGUGGGAAAGAUAUUGUUUCGGUGGGGGAUGGGCUCGCGGCCUAUCAGCUUGUUGGUGGGGUGAUGGCCUACCAAGGCGGUGACGGGUAGCCGGCCUGAGAGGGUGGACGGUCACACUGGGACUGAGACACGGCCCAGACUCCUACGGGAGGCAGCAGUGGGGAAUAGUGCACAAUGGGCGCAAGCCUGAUGCAGCGACGCCGCGUGAGGGAUGGAGGCCUUCGGGUUGUAAACCUCUUUCGCCAGUGAAGCAGGCCUGUCCCUUUUGUGGGUGGGUUGACGGUAGCUGGAGAAGAAGCGCCGGCUAACUACGUG